rnacentral:rRNA from 1 species
AGAGUUUGAUCCUGGCUCAGGAUGAACGCUGGCGGCGUGCUUAACACAUGCAAGUCGAACGAUCCUUCGGGAUAGUGGCGGACGGGUGAGUAACGCGUGGGAAUCUGCCCUCAGGAGGGGGAUAACGGCUGGAAACGGCCGCUAAUACCCCAUAUGCCGAGAGGUGAAAUGAAUUUCGCCUGAGGAUGAGCCCGCGUCUGAUUAGCUAGUUGGUGGGGUAAAGGCCUACCAAGGCGACGAUCAGUAGCUGGUCUGAGAGGAUGAUCAGCCACACUGGGACUGAGACACGGCCCAGACUCCUACGGGAGGCAGCAGUGGGGAAUUUUCCGCAAUGGGCGAAAGCCUGGCGGAGCAACGCCGCGUGAGGGAUGAAGGCCUCUGGGCUGUAAACCUCUUUUCUCAAGGAAGAAGAACUGACGGUACUUGAGGAAUAAGCCACGGCUAAUUCCGUGCCAGCAGCCGCGGUAAUACGGGAGUGGCAAGCGUUACCCGGAAUUAUUGGGCGUAGAGCGUCCGCAGGCGGCCUUGUAAGUCUGUUGUUAAAGCGUGGAGCUCAACUCCAUUUAAGCAAUGGAAACUACAAGGCUGGAGUGUGGUAGGGGCAGAGGGAAUUCCCGGUGUAGCGGUGAAAUGCGUAGAUAUCGGGAAGAACACCAGUGGCGAAGGCGCUCUGCUGGGCCAUAACUGACGCUCAUGGACGAAAGCCAGGGGAGCGAAAGGGAUUAGAUACCCCUGUAGUCCUGGCCGUAAACGAUGAACACUAGGUGUCGGGGGAAUCGACCCCCUCGGUGUCGUAGCCAACGCGUUAAGUGUUCCGCCUGGGGAGUACGCACGCAAGUGUGAAACUCAAAGGAAUUGACGGGGGCCCGCACAAGCGGUGGAGUAUGUGGUUUAAUUCGAUGCAACGCGAAGAACCUUACCAGGGUUUGACAUCCUGCGAAUCCCUUGGAAACGAGGGAGUGCCUUCGGGAGCGCAGUGACAGGUGGUGCAUGGCUGUCGUCAGCUCGUGUCGUGAGAUGUUGGGUUAAGUCCCGCAACGAGCGCAACCCACGUCUUUAGUUGCCAGCAUUCAGUUGGGCACUCUAGAGAGACCGCCGGUGAUAAACCGGAGGAAGGUGUGGAUGACGUCAAGUCAUCAUGCCCCUUACAUCCUGGGCUACACACGUACUACAAUGCUACGGACAAAGGGCAGCAAGCUCGCGAGAGUUAGCAAAUCCCACAAACCGUGGCUCAGUUCAGAUCGUAGGCUGCAACUCGCCUACGUGAAGGAGGAAUCGCUAGUAAUCGCAGGUCAGCAUACUGCGGUGAAUACGUUCCCGGGCCUUGUACACACCGCCCGUCACACCAUGGAAGUUGGCCAUGCCCGAAGUCGUUACUCCAACCCUUGUGGAGGAGGACGCCGAAGGUGGGGCUGAUGACUGGGGUGAAGUCGG